CUCCCCCGUUGCUGACUCCAGGUUCGAUAGCGCCAAUUAGGCGCCACCUCGCCAAGAACCAGCUUCGGUGAAGCGACGGGCGGUGUGUGCAUGG
rnacentral:rRNA from 1 species